rnacentral:rRNA from 1 species
CCCUUAGAUGUUCUGGGCCGCACGCGCGCUACACUGAUGCAUUCAACGAGUUUCUUCCUGGUCCGAGAGGAAUGGGUAACCUUUUGAAAGUGCAUCGUGAUAGGGAUAGACUAUUGCAAUUAUUGGUCUUCAACGAGGAAUUCCUAGUAGACGUAGUUCAUCAGACUGCAUCGAUUACGUCCCUGCCCUUUGUACACACCGCCCGGCGCUCCUACCGAUUGAACGGUUUAGUGAGGGCCUCGGAUUGGUCUCGGCCCGCUCUUUACCGGGCGGCGCCGUUGGUCGAGAAGACGCUCGAACUUGAUCGUUUAGAGGAAGUAAAAGUCGUAACA